UAGUAUGUAAUCUACAUCUCUUGCAGAUUGUAACAAACCUGCCAAACUAGGCUUACAAACGGGAAGAAUUCGCGACGGUCAAAUUAGCGCAUCAUCUAACUAUGAUUCAAAUCAUCGUGCACAAAAUGGACGUCUGAACUUUAUAGCGCACAAUGGCAGAACUGGGGCGUGGUCUGCAAGAGUCAAUGAUAUGAACCAAUGGUUACAAGUUGAUCUUGAACAGCUAACCGUGAUCACGGGAAUAAGCACACAAGGUCGUGCCGAU